rnacentral:rRNA from 1 species
AUGGGGAAGUCGAAGAGCAAGGGCGCCAAGUUCGCCGCCGUCAAGAAGAUCAUCAGCAAGAAGACCAUCCAGAAGUACAAGGAAGAUGUGCUGGACCCGCGGAAGAAGGACACCGAGAAGGAGAAGCUCGGCCGGAAUGUGCCGCAGGUGUCGUCGGCGCUCUUCUUCAGCUACAACAUGGCGCUCGGGCCGCCCUACCGGGUCAUCGUCGACACCAACUUCAUCAAUUUCUCCAUCCAGAACAAGUUGGAUUUGGAGAAAGGAAUGAUGGAUUGCCUUUAUGCAAAAUGUACCCCUUGCAUCACUGAUUGUGUUAUGGCUGAGCUUGAAAAGUUAGGACAAAAAUAUCGUGUGGCUUUGAGAAUUGCUAAGGACCCUAGGUUCCAGAGAUUAGCGUGCACACACAAGGGAACUUAUGCUGAUGACUGUAUUGUUGAGAGAAUUACUCAGCACAAAUGCUACAUUGUUGCCACCUGCGAUAGAGAUUUAAAGAGGAGAAUAAGAAAGGUUCCUGGUGUGCCAAUCAUGUAUAUCACCCAACACAGGUACUCGAUAGAACGACUCCCUGAAGCUACAAUUGGUGGAGCACCAAGAAUCUGA